rnacentral:lncRNA from 1 species
AUGCAUCUUAUUUCUGGGCCCAGGUGCAUGUCUUAUGCUGAUAAAAAAAAACAAAACAAAAGAGUGGGGAGACCAGGAGACUUGAGUGUCUCAGAAAACCCCUCUUCUUGGUUCCUUCCAGGUAAAAUGAGUGAGUCAGGCCACACGCUUCCCAAAGCCUCUGCCAGCGCUGCCAUCCACAGGGCUGCCAUAUUGGAUGCAGUUCAUGACAAAGGAUUUGCUACUUUUUGUUCUCUCUGGCUCUCCUCCUGCCUUCCCUUCAGCUUGCUCCAAGAUCAUGUGGGCUUCAAGGGCCAGGGUCCCAGCAUAAUUGGCUUCCAACAGGCAAGUCUUCCAGAAGCUUGCAGCCCCAACAGUGCCUGCUGUGGACGUGGAGGCAGAUCUCAACAGGCCGAUGAGCAGGCAGGCCGGGCACCAGCCACAGGGAAGAACCUCAGGCCAGCUGCCAAGUUUCAGCCAGGAGGGAACAUCGCUGGAGUUUAUAACCCUGCACAAGAGGCAGCCGGUAGGGAAAGCUCCACCACGCCCUUAAUACCACCGCAUGACUCGUGAGCACCUUGCUGUUAAUUAACAGCAGUAAAUACCACGGUUAUUUCAUUUUGCCUACCACUCUCUCGGGUAGCAACGUGGGGACACCCAGCCGCGAAGCACAGGGUCUCGUGUAUUAUCUUGACAGCGUUCUGCAGGGCUUGCCAAGUGGGGGCUCCAGCCGUUCGGAUGGCUCGCUCAUCCGGGGGCAAAAGGAGUCCCCUUUUUGCUGCCCACACUCUAGCGCCACACGCAGGGUAUGUGGCCAUGACGUCUCUGGAAAGUUCAAGUUGGAACCUGCUGGGUGUUCUUGAACACUCCAGCAAGUGCUUAUUUGAUAUAAACAAGUCUCCAAUCGUCUGCGGGCCUCUCUGCUUCCUGAGAGGCCUCCCGAAUGAUGGGUGGCUCUCACCCGCGGUUGACAUGUGGUCUUUCCCAGGGCCCACAGCUUGGAAGGUCUCACUCAGGGAGCAGUCCCCACCUUUCCACCAAAACUUUAUCUUCCCCAUGGAGAUGUGUCCUCCUGGGAUGUUCAAACCGGACGUAGCCCGUAGCAGUCUUUUUGCAUUUUUUUUUAAAUUCCCCAAAACCCUGUAUCGAGGACUUCUUCAUGCCAGACACUGGAGAGAGAAAGAUAGACGGGAAGGGAUCCUGGCCUUGAGGAACUCAUGGUCAAGCAAAGUAGAUGGAUGAGUAACAAGUUCAACCGCAGUGUUCCAUCAUACACGCCGUGACGGCCGAGGUUCGGGGUGCUACAGUCAUCCAUGGGGAAAGCACCCUUUUAGGGGGUGAGAGAUGAAAUGAAAUUUAAGUGUUGAAGGCUGAAGAGGAGUUUUACGGGGAAGAGUGCCAAGUGCACCACCAAGUACAAAGAUCUCAAGGUAUAGGAGAGCCACGCAUGUUCCCUGGAGGGAGCCCAAGUUCAUGGUCAUUGCUUAUCUCAGAGGGGUCGCAUCUCGUGAACAUCUCUGAUGUUCUGAUUCUUGCUUCCCUGCACAUUUUCAGCACUUGCUGGUAUGUUUGUGUUAGCAGGCUAGGCCUGCUUAAAACAUCACACUGCAACAAGGUUGAGCUUCUUUUAUGUUUUGUUUCCUCCUUCUCCUCGCCUCCAAAUAUGGGGCUCAAUCUCCAGUCGUUUCAGAUAUGUAGCCUUUAAAGGUAAUGGGUUCAAAUCCUUCCCUUUCAUAAUUUACCCCGAUUCCCCCUUGUCAACUGAGGCCUGGAAACUGGGAAGUAAAGGAGAUCCAUUGCCUUUUCUCCAGCUCACAAGUCAUUUCCCUCCAUCCAUGCUUUGCAGGACAAUUGUCUAGGCGGCCCAGCGGAUGUGUCUCCUAUUUUGUGGGUCUCCAAUGAUAACCAUUGCCUUAUGGCUCAUCUCCACGUCCUGUGGGCACUGUGGGUACCCUCAGUGAGGUCCACAUGACAGGCAUGAGGGAGGAUGGGGACAUUUCCUGGUACGACGAGCCUUUGGGUUGCUGAAGUUCCAUGAAGUGUGGAAUUCAUCCACAGUCAUUCUCUCACUCACCCACUGGGAACCAAUCAAAGGGCCAGGUGCUGGGGUUGCCACACUGGACCAAGCAAAUGGUACCUGCCUCUGUGAACCUUACACUCACAGUAUCCUGAUUCAGAGUGCUCCUGUGGUGGCGCCUAGUGAAGCUCAGAUCUGGGGAUCUGGGUGCCCUAGUACCCAGCCACCUUCCAAGAAGGGCACUGCCCAUGGGAAAAUGGCCUAUCCCUUUUGGGAUGGGACCAAGAAACCACCAUGAACGUGGAGCAGCCACAGCUCCCAGCAAGGGUCAAGGUAGCCCCUGAAACAUCACACGGAUGUUGAGAAGAAGAUGCUCUGGGGUGAGAGCGGGGGUGGCUGGUGCUUUGGACGUUCAGCUUUAGAGUGAGUAUUUCAUUUAUGCAAGAGAUGUGGAAAUCUGAGAAGCAUCUGGUUCCUCCAUGGAGAAAAAGCAUUUCACAUGUCUAAACUCAGUCUCCUUCACCCACUGGCUUUGAAAGUGCAGACGUCUAAGCCCUGAUCGUCGUUUCUGGAAAGGAGCACGUGAUGUGAACAAGCAUCUCUCUAGCAGACUGGCAGACCCCGUCCAGGCUGGGGCUCUGAGCCUGUGGCUGUUGCCUCCAGUGUCUGCCCCAGAACAAGCCCCUCUACUCGGGCAGGGGUGUCUGUCUGUUUCGCUCCUGCCACACCCCCAGUGCCCAGCAUGGUGCCUGCGACGUCGUGAGGGAUCAGUACAUUUUUGUGGAAUGAGUGGUUCAAGGCUCAUUUGGACCCAGACACAACCACCCAGCUGCCAACACCUUGUGAAAAGGAAGGCGAGGUGCUUGUUCUCCUUUGGCUUAAUAACAGUCUGCAGGAACUGUUGUCUUUUAUAUGCCUGCUUAGCUCAUUGUGAAGGCCCCGUAAAUAUUAAUUGAUGGACAAGAAGCUCUGGGGUUUGGCUCCAGACAGAUCCGAGUCCUAUUUUUUUGGAGGACGUUUAUAAGGGCAGGGGAUGUGGGGCCGUACGUUAUGAGUCUGGGGAGACUCCCAGGACCCUGUCCUUCCCCUCCCAAAGCCGAAGCCUGGGAGAAGUGGGCGGACCCAGAGGGAAGCACCUAAUUACAUUCACAGGUUAUAUAAUUACACUUUCAGGUUCCCACCGGUGGUGGGUUUGAAAGGCGCUUUGAGUAAUUUCAUUUCAUCAAGGCUUUGUUUUCCUAGGCUUUGUUUCCCUCACUCUUUAUUCUCCGUCCUUGGUCUCGAGCUGGUGCCUUCCAGGAAAAGCCAGCUGAUGCUAUGUUGCCUAGGUGAGCCCCUCAACGGACUUCCCGUCUACACACAACACAGCGGAGAUCUGGAGGAACAGUCUCGCCCAGGGUUUAGCAACAGGAUCAAAGGCUCUGAAUUCAGCCCCUGCUUCUCUGCCUCCCCAAGUACCAUUCAUGGUUCAUGGACAUGGUUCACAGUCCAUUCCCGUGAGGGUUGGCAUGGUCUUGUCCCCAGACCGGCAGCCUCAGCAUCACCCAAGAGGCUGCUAGAAACACAAAUUUGUGGGGUCCCCCCGCCCAGAACUCCCAGACACUCCAGGGUGAGGCCCAGCAAUCUGUGUUUUAACAAGCCCUCUAGGGGAUUCUAAUGCAUAUGUUCCUGUUUGGAAAUCACUGCUCUAGACUCAAGAGUCUAAAAGGAUGAUUCCCAGGCUUGAGGGACUGUUUACAACAUUCGGCCAAGCAUCCCAGGACCUAGUAAAUGAGAAUCCCCUAGAGUGGAGGCCCAGCAUCAGGUUCCCGUUUAGUUCUUUGCAGCCCCAUGGGGGUUCCAAGGAUGCACGGUCCUGGCCAAGGGCCCCCGGUCCAGUGUGACGUUCCUUGCAUCGGGCAUGUGCUGUGGCUGUGCCCGGGAGCCAAACGCCGCAGAAGAGGCAGCAGUAGGAGCAAAGAUGUGGGCCUCGAAGAACUGGCCCAAGAACGCAACCAGCUCCUGCACGUUGCCCCCACUUUACCCCAGGUCCCAACUGCAGCUGGUGACGCUGCCUCUGAACCUGCAGAGGCUGUGACUCCGGGACCUGUUUGGGAAGGCAUCAUGUCACGCUUUCACGAGGAACCGAAAUGGCUCUGUGACACCUCAGUUCGGGGAGAGAAGCCUGUGUUGGGAUGGUUUUCCAACUUUAGACGUAGAUCUCAACCCCUGCAUGCACAGUUAAAUCUCUUCCAGACUUUUUUGUUUUGUUUUGUUACAUUUUUUAAAAACCUGAUGCCUGGACCCCACUCCCCGAAACUUGGAUUCAAUUGAUCUGAGGGAGAGUGUAAGCUUUUCUUUUCCAAACUCCCUUUGGAUUCCAGUGCGCGGCUAGAAUUGGGAACCACUGCUUUAGAUAUUCACUGAAUAAGGAACUACCCACCCAUCACGUGCUCAGAUCUUUAAAAUAUCAGAGCAUUUAAGUUCUUCCCGUAGCCACCCUCACCCCAGUGGAGCCUUGAGAAUGAACGCAGCCUCCGAGAGAUGCAGAGGCAGACGCUAAGGGGAGCCUUGAUUCCUGACCCACAGAAAGUAUGAGACAAUUUAAACCACUGUGUUUGGGAGUUCCCACUGUGGUGCAAUCCGAAUCCGACUAGUAUCCAUGAGGAUGCGAGUUCAAUCCCUGGCCUCACUCAGUGGGUUAAGGAUCCGGCAUUGCCAUGAGCUGUGGUGUAGGCCGGCUGCUCUAGGUCCAAUUGGACCUCUAGCCUGGGAACUUCCAUAUGCCUUGGGUGUGGACCUAACCCCCCCAAAUAUAUAUAUAUAUAUAAAUAAAGAAAUGAAUAAAUAAAGCUCUGUGUUUGUUACACAGCAGUAGAUAGCCGAUACAGUUUCAGUGCUGCUUAAGCUGGUUCAGAGAUUUUUCCUGAAUGUCUCAUCUUUUUAUUUAAAAAAAAAAAACCCACUUUAUUGAGGUAUGAUUGACAUACAGAGAGCUGUACACAUUGAAUGUAUAGCACUUAAUAAAUUUGAACAUCAGUAUAUCGUCACGAAACCAUCCCCAUAGCUUAUGCCGUGGUCAGAUUCAUUUUUUCCAAAAGUUUACUCCCCCCUCUUUAUUUUAUUACUAUUGUUGUUCUUGUUGUUGUUGUUGUCGUUGUAUGAGAGCAAAAAACAUAAGAUCUACUGUGUGCAAAAUUGUGAGUAUAUUAUACAGCCUUGUUAAUUAUAGGCCCUGUGCCGGGCAGCAGGAGAGUGCUAGAAUUCACUCAUGUUAUAGAACUGAAACCUUGCCCCCUUCGACUAACACCUCUCCUUCCCCCCUCCCUGCAGACCUGGCAAGGACAACCCUAAUUUCUGCCCCGAUAGGUUUGAUUGUUUUAUUUACUUAUUUGUUUGCUUAUUAUUUUUGAGUAUCUUUUUUCAGUGGCCUGGGAACCUCUGUAUGCUGUGGGUGUGGCCCUAGAAAAGAUAGAAAGACAAAACAAACAAACAAACAAACAAAAACGUAAGCAUGUCUGUGAAUGGAGCUGGAGAACAAAGUACUGACCUGAGUAAACUUGCAAAUGAGUGGAGUUGGCAAGAUUAAAGGCAUAGGCGUUAACAAUUCUGAAAUCAUUAUACACACAAGCCAGAACUGGACAAUUAAGUACAUGGAUGGAUCCCAAGGAACUUCUUAAGAACUUUAUUCCUUAAAAGCAGUCAUUUACCUGUUUCAGAAGUCAAAACACUCUAAAAAAAUCUCUGUCCUGUCCAUGUCCCCAGAUAUUCCAUCAGCCCCUUCUUCCCAGAGUUACUACCUUUACUAUUUUCCUGUAUGUUUUUCCACUGUUUCUUUAUGUAAAUACAAACAAGGUGUUUCUCCCCUUCUUCCUGUACAAACAGCGGUAUCUAGAAAUAUUGUUUUGUCUGUUGCUCUUUUUGUCUUUCUGUAUAUCCUAGAGGUCUUUCUAUAUCAGCUGCAGAGAGAUCUUUCUCUUUCUUUUUGAACAGAGGCAUAGUAUUGUAGGUUGAGGUUGGACCAGCGUUUAUUCAAUGAGUCUCCUGUAGAUAAACAUUUGGGUUAUCUCCCAUCUUUGCUAUUAAAAAUUAUGCUGUCUAGUA